UGGCGGCGUGCCUAACACAUGCAAGUCAACUUGACUGAAGGAGCAAUCUGACAGUAGAGUGGCGCAAGGGUGCGUAACGCGUAAGUAACUUGCCCAAGGUAAGGAAUAACGUCGAGAAAUCGGCGCUAAUACCUCAUAAUGCAGCGGAUCCGCAUGGAUAUGUUGUUAAGGUUUACCGCCUUGGGAUAGGCUUGCGUCUGAUUAGCUAGUUGGUGUGGUAACGGCACACCAAGGCUACGAUCAGUAACUGGUCUGAGAGGAUGAUCAGUCACACUGGAACUGAGACACGGUCCAGACUCCUACGGGAGGCAGCAGUGAGGAAUAUUGGGCAAUGCUCGAAAGAGUGACCCAGCAACGCCGCGUGGAGGAUGAAGGUAUUCUAUAUCGUAAACUCCUGUGAGAGCAGACGAAAGACAGAUUAUUAAUCUGGAUGACUGUAUGCUCAGAGGAAGCCCCGGCUAACUACGUG
rnacentral:rRNA from 1 species